rnacentral:lncRNA from 1 species
CUCGAUCUUGAAGGAUUCGAGGUUUUUGAUUCCUGCGCAACAGAUUCUUGAUAAUUUUUGCUGGGUGGGUUUUCCUCAGAUUCUCCAUUAAUGGAGAGUUUGAAUGCUGAUGGUGAUGGUGUUGGUGUAGAGGAGAUUUGUUAUGGUGCUGGAGUUGAGCAUCCGAAGAAGAAUUCGAGACUAGUGCUACUGCUAGAUGAGGUAAUUAUGCAUGACCAUACACACUCACGCACUUGAUUUUUCCUUUGAUGUUUCUUAUUCAUUUUAAUGAUUAAAUAUUUAGCUUUCUUUGUGUUCAACAUUCAUGUAUAUAUAUUUAUAUGUCUUUGAUUAGUGAUCAUUAAAUGAUAGUAAGUAAUAACCAUAAAAAAAUUGUUUAUAGAUUUAUAUUUGAUUUUUUUUUUAAGAUAGAUUCAUAUUUGAUUUAGUGCUUUACUACUAAAACUUUUCAUUUUCAUAAAACAUAAACUUAUAAGUAAAUUUCAAUAUUUUAUCUGAAAUUUAUUUCUUGAAAUCAAGGUAAAAAAGACAAUGAUUUGUGAGAUGUUUCUCUCUUUGUUUUAGCUGGAUAGAAUGAAUUGAAAGUGAAGAUGAAUCAGAUAUCUUGGGCCAUGAGAUUAAUUUCUUCAGUAGACAUGGCAAAAAGAUGUCUUGUCUUGUCGAUACCAUAAAUCAUUUUACUGUUCCUCUUUUUUUCUCUUUUGCAAUUUUUGUUCUCCCUUUUCUAAUAUUAUUCCUGCUUGUUUGCUUCUCCCUUGUGCAUCAACGUCUGUUUGAGCAGAUCCAGGAAAAAAAAAAGAAAGGAAUGAAGGAAAAG